UGGGGAAUCUUGCGCAAUGGACGAAAGUCUGACGCAGCCACGCCGCGUGAGUGGAAGAAGGCCCUUCGGGUUGUAAAAGCUCUGUCGGGGCGGGACGAACAUCUUUUGGGUUAACAGCCCCAGAGGACUGACGGUACCGCCAAAGGAAGCACCGGCUAACUCUGUGCCAGCAGCCGCGGUAAUACAGAGGGUGCAAGCGUUGCUCGGAAUCAUUGGGCGUAAAGGGUAGGUAGGUGGUCUCAUUUGUCUGGGGUGAAAGCCUUGAGCUUAACUCAAGAAGUGCCCCGGAAACGGUGAGACUGGAGUCUUGGAGAGGGUCGUGGAAUUCCCGGUGUAGCGGUGAAAUGCGUAGAGAUCGGGAGGAACACCAGAGGCGAAGGCGGCGACCUGGACAAGCACUGACACUCAACUACGGAAAGCGUGGGGAGCAAACA
rnacentral:rRNA from 1 species